rnacentral:rRNA from 1 species
GAUGAACGCUGGCGGCGUGCUUAACACAUGCAAGUCGAACGAUGAAGCCCAGCUUGCUGGGUGGAUUAGUGGCGAACGGGUGAGUAACACGUGAGCAACCUGCCCCUGACUCUGGGAUAAGCGCUGGAAACGGCGUCUAAUACUGGAUAUGUCCCGUCACCGCAUGGUGUGCGGGUGGAAAGAUUUUUCGGUUGGGGAUGGGCUCGCGGCCUAUCAGCUUGUUGGUGAGGUAAUGGCUCACCAAGGCGUCGACGGGUAGCCGGCCUGAGAGGGUGACCGGCCACACUGGGACUGAGACACGGCCCAGACUCCUACGGGAGGCAGCAGUGGGGAAUAUUGCACAAUGGGCGGAAGCCUGAUGCAGCAACGCCGCGUGAGGGAUGACGGCCUUCGGGUUGUAAACCUCUUUUAGCAGGGGAGAAGCGAAAGUGACGGUACCUGCAGAAAAAGCACCGGCUAACUACGU